rnacentral:lncRNA from 1 species
GUAAUAAUGCCUCAGUGCUGUGUCCCUUGCUGCUCUAACCGAUCAGAGACAAAAACAGCCACUAAACUAUCGUUCCACAGAUUUCCUCCCAACAACAAAGACAAGAAGAGAUGGCUGCAGUUAAUAAGGUAAGUUACCAUUCAAGAAAUACAUAGAAAAUCGAAGUUUAGCGCUAACGCUAACGCUAACCCUUGCUCAGAGUUUGCAGACUAGCUACCCUCGGUGUUAUCGAAACUACCGUGACAUACUAGACAUAUAUUUCUAUUUUUAGUUUAGUCAACCGACUACAAAAGUACCAUCUGCCUCGAGGAUCAAUAUAUGUGCUUUCCUUAUGUUUUCUCUGCUCAGCAAAGCUGUAAUCAGCGUGUAGUGGAGGGUCAACAGUAUCGUUACCCACAUCUGUAUUUACUACUACAACCCUGUCUGUAAAGAGAUUAUAUCAGUUACUGUAGGUAUUAUGUCAGGCUGAUUAUGUCAUUAUUUCAGCUACACACCAGUACAAUCUGCAUUAUCUUAAGCAUUGCCAAAUGUUCAAAUUUCUAGGUCUUCCCUUGACUCUCUCAGUAUACAAAUGGAACCAAAUGAACCCACAUUUGGUUCCAUUUGUAUACUGUUAGAGUUACAGACUUGUAUGGGUCGAUUUAGACCCUCAUAAAAGUCCCUAGGAUCCACUUAGACAACCACUGACUUAUACAGUCUGUAGGGUAUACUAUGCUGAUAUAACUUAUACAAUCUUUAUGGUAGAGUAUGUUAACACAAUGCAAAUUAUUCAAUUUUGAUAGUUAAUGUUGUCUCCCUUUUAUUAGGACAUUUAGAUUGUGUCAAAGGUAAUGUCUCCACCAGAAACAGGAUCUGAGUCUGACACCAAUCUUGACCAGAUGGUCAAGAUUACAUUUAUCCCCUGAGUGAGCAGGAUGGCUCUUUUAGGUCAAUGGUAAAAAUAAUGCCAGUGCUUGUGCAGUAAACAAGGGUUCAAAUCCAUUGCAGCUGAGGAAAGUAACAGUGCAGCUUUAAGUUUUCAUUGCCAGUAAUUUGCUACACUGUAAUUUUUGUGCACAUAACUAACACAUUUGAAAUAUCUCGUCCCCUUUCUAUUUACAGGCGUGACGACUUUACCCCAAACUGCAACUCAAGGGUGUGCAGUUGGCAUUUCCCGGAUGGCAAAGCUGCUGGCCCAUCACGGUUUGCUUGGAACGAGGGGAAGACUUUCCCAGGUCACCUCAGCCAUCCACCCGAAAAGAAGAAAAAAGUGGUCCCACUCCCUACCAGUGGUGAAGAUGAAGGGACAAAUGAACUUGAACUACAUAAUGCUGACAUAGCAACUGCAGAGACCCCUAGUACUUCAGAGAACCCUUCUACUACAAACAGUGUUGAGGUGCUUGAGAUAGAGGUUGAUAUGUUGAGAAGAGAGAACGAGAAAUUGAAAAAUGAAUUGGAGAAACAAAAACAAAUCUUUUCCUUCAGUCAAAUAUCUUCCAAUUCUGACAAAGUACAAUAUUUCACUGGCUUACCUGAUGCUGCUACCGUCCUGUUUUUGGAAACACUUUUAUCUAAGUUUGAGCUAAAAUAUCAUUCUGAUUGGACAGUCCAGUUUAUGCCACUAGUCGAUCAGUUGCUCCUGACCUUGAUGAAGCUUAGACUUAAUUGUGGUCAUUUAGACCUUGCAACCAGAUUUAAUUGUAGCACAGCCACAGUAACCAACAUUUUUCUCACUAUUGUCAGUGCCCUGUAUGACAUUUUGUAUGUUGGUAUGCUUGAGAACAUCCCCUCCACAGCCAAGAACCAGACAUCACUGCCAGAGUGUUUCCGUCCAUUUCCUAAUUGUAGGAUUGUGCUCGAUUGCACAGAGGUUGCUGUCUCCAAGCCAGAGCGGCUUGACACACAGAGUCAUCUAUACAGCCAGUACAAAGGACGGACCACACACACAAGACUUUAAUAGGUGUGGCUCCUAAUGGAGUGAUUACAUUUGUCAGUGACUAUUAUGGUGGGAGUGCCUCAGACAAGGCAAUAACAGCAGAUUCUGGAGUUCUCAACCAUCUAAAACCAGGUGACAUGGUGAUGGCAGACAAAGGCUUCACAAUCCAGGACAUCUUGCCAGAAGGGGUUUCGCUGAACAUCCCUUCUUUCCUUGUAAAUGGACAGUUCACACAGGAAGAAGUGAAGAAAAACAAACUUAUCUCCAGUGCUAGGAUCCAUGUGGAGCGCUCCAUUCAGAGGUUGAAAUUAUUUCGCAUUUUGGACAAUAUCCCACAUCAGUUCACCAAAAACAUUAACAAGAUACUGAAAGUGUGUGUGUGUCUUACCAACCUGCA